AGCGAACGCUGGCGGCAGGCCUAACACAUGCAAGUCGAACGAACCUUUCGGGGGUAGUGGCGGACGGGUGUGUAACACGUGGGAACGUGCCGUUAGGUUCGGAAUAACUCAGUGACGCUUGGGCUAAUACCGAAUGUGUCCUUCGGGGGAAAGAUUAAUCGCCUUUAGAGCGGCCCGCGUUCGAUUAGCUAGUUGGUUGAGGUAAUGGCGCACCAAGGCGACGAUCAGUAGCUGGUCUGAGAGGAUGAUCAGCCACAUUGGGACUGAGACACGGCCCGAACUACUACGGGAGGCAGCAGUGGGGAAUCUUGCGCAAUGGGCGAAAGCCUGAAGCAGCCAUGCCGCGUGAAUGAUGAAGGUCUUAGGAUUGUAAAAUUCUUUCACCGGGGACGAUAAUGACGGUACCCGGAGAAGAAGCCCCGGCUAACUUCGUG
rnacentral:rRNA from 1 species